rnacentral:lncRNA from 1 species
AUUUUAUGCUUCUUUAUUAUGUGCAUGUAUAUAUAGAGAGAGAGAGAGAUGAGCUAAAAUACUCUUAAAAGCACCAAGGAAGUGAUGCUUUUGAGUUUUUAACCAUUGGAUAGAAAGAUGUAGGGUUGAGAUGAUGGUGGUAAGUGGUGGUAGGGGGUGGUAAGUAGAAUAGUGUUUGAUCCAAGGAAUAUUAGUAAUUAAGGAGUAGAUUCGAGGGCUAGAAACUUAGAAGCAACAAAAAAUUGGUGCCUUACUUCUAAAAGUAUUCUAGCUCAAUUUUAUAUAUAUANAAUUUAAAAUUAUAAGUUUAAAAUUUAAAAAUUUAAAUUCAAUUAUAGGGGUAAUAUCAUUAUUUUCUAUUUAUAACCAUCAACUAUUUCUCUUAUUCCCAAUAACCAUCCAAACACAAUUUUUCUAAUUCCAGCUUAUACUCACAUUUUCAUCCAAACAAAAAAAUAUCUUUAUUCUUACAAAAAUCCAUACUUGUAUCUAUCCUUGGAAUAACUAGUUCCUACUAAUUUCCGAACCAAACGAAGCCUAUAAGAGUGUCACAAUCCUCUCUCCUUUAAGCUUUGAUGUCCUCGUUAGAUUCUAGCACACUUGCAAGCACUAAGUGAUGUGAGAUUCGUCUUGCUGGCCUUUGCUGAUCUUGUUGGGAGAGCCUGCCAUCCACACCAGUCACAUUAGUUGAGGAGCCGCGCUCUUCCCGUUGUAUGACCUAGCUCUGCUGAGACUUAUUCUAUAUUUUUCAGCUGGUGAUUAACUCUGAUACAAACUAUGACGUUCCGCUUUUCAGAGGGUUAUUUAUCUUUGAACUACUCUAAUUCUAAUAUGUUUAACUCCCUUAACCUUUUGGAUAUGAUCAUCGCCCAAAAUGCUAUAAUUGAGUUAAUAGGUUUAGUCUUACUAUAUACAUAACA